UCUGAAUCUGCGNACGGCUCCGCAAACCAGUUGUAAACCUAAGCAAGCUUGCUCGGGUCGGGCUUCGGCCUGGCCUGGGUGAUACGGAUAACCCUGGUAAUUCUGAGGCUAAUACGAGAACGCAAUCCCUGGCUGACCGGGCAACUGGAAGGCUGGGAGGCGUGCACGUUGUGUCGCGAGAAAUCGCCGGGAAUAGACACAUGCCUGGACCGCGCCAAAAACAGAUGGGGCUUCCCGCAAGGGUCGUCCUGCCUGAGCGGCUCUUGCUUUGUGCUUCUGACCUAUCAACUAGAUGGCAGCGUAACGGACAUGCUACGGUGACAACGGGUACAG
rnacentral:rRNA from 1 species